ACAAACUUGGUCAUUUAGAGGAAGUAAAAGUCGUAACAAGGUUUCCGUAGGUGAACCUGCGGAAGGAUCAUUACCGAUUUACAGCGGGCUUCGGCCCUCGCUGCACCCUUGUCUUUGCGUACCUACCGUUUCCUCGGCGGGCUUGCCUGCCGAUAGGACACUGUAAAACCACUUGUAAUUGCAAUCAGCGUCAGAAAAUAACAAUAGUUACAACUUUCAACAACGGAUCUCUUGGUUCUGGCAUCGAUGAAGAACGCAGC
rnacentral:misc_RNA from 1 species